rnacentral:rRNA from 1 species
UACGGAGGGGCUAGCGUUGUUCGGAAUUACUGGGGCGUAAAGCGCACGUAGGCGGAUCAGCCAGUCAGGGGUGAAAUCCCGGGGCUCAACCCCGGAACUGCCCUUGAUACUGCUGGUCUGGAGUUCGAGAGAGGCGAGUGGAAUUCCGAGUGUAGAGGUGAAAUUCGUAGAUAUUCGGAGGAACACCAGUGGCGAAGGCGGCUCGCUGGCUCGACACUGACGCUGAGGUGCGAAAGCGUGGGGAGCAAACAGGAUUAGAUACCCCUGUAGU